AUCCUGCAUCAAACAAAUGUCAACAUCAUUUUUCAAACAGCAUUUGCCUUUUCAUGUCUCUGUCACAUUUUGGUAAUUCUCACAAUAUUUUUUUUUCUUUAUUAUUAUAUUUGUUAUGGUGAUCUGUGAUCAGUGAUCUUUGAUGUUAUAGUUGUCAUGGUUUUGGGGUGCCAGAAACUGCACACAUAUAAGACCAUGAACUUAACCAAUAGUGCGUUCUGACUGCUCCACUAACCACCUGCUCAUCUCUGUCUGGUCCUUAGGCCUCCCUGUUCCCUGAGACACAAUAUUGAAAUUAGGCCAACAGAUAACCCUACAAUGGCCUCUAAGUGUUCAAGUGAAAGGAAGAGUUACACAUCUGUCACUUGAAAUCAAAAGCUAUGAUUAAGCUUAGUGAGGAAGGUGGUCAAAAGCCAAGUUAGGCUGAAAGCAGCUAGGCCUCUUGCACCAAACAGCCAAGUUGUAAAUGCAAAGGAAAAUUUCUUGAAGAAAAUUAAAAGUGCUACUCCAGUGAACACACAAAUGUGUGAACAGAAGUCACAAUAUUCCCAUAAACCAAAGCCUGAUCCAGAGUGCAAACUCUUCAGUUCUAGGGCACCAUUCUUCCUUCCUGCAGCCCAGGUGGAUUUUUGUCUCAUCUUCUCUUAUCUGGUGCUCUUUGUGUCUCCUUGGGAGUAUACGGGGUAAUAAACAUAUUCCCUCUGGAAAUGGCUCAAAUAUGAAAGGUGGAUGUGUUGGAAGGAAUGGGAGUGUCUUAUAAGGACCCCCCAAAAAGUGAAACGGUAAGUAGAUAAGAGUGAUGAAAUUAAUAGCUAAUACUCACUGAAUGCUUUUGAGGUACAAGACACUGCAAACAUUUUAUACAAAUUAACUCAUUUAUCUUCAUAAAAUCCUGUGAGGUAUUACUAUCACCAUUUAUAGAUGUUGAAGUAAUUUGUCCAAGAUCAUAUAAAGCCACUAGACACGCAACUUGGAUUUAUAGUCGGGUGACAUGACUUCUGGGCAUAGUCUUCACACACAUGCACACAUACACUUUUGAGCUCUUGAAAGGUAUAGAGUGUCUUUUAUUUACCUGGCCCACAGAUGCUCAAGAAAUGGUUAACAGAAAUGAUGGAGUAGGAUCCUCCAUCAGUGACACUGUAACAUCAUGAUCUUAGCCCAAUCUGCAACAAGACAAUACACUCUCACCACUUUAAGUCCUCACUGUCUUGAUUUAACUCUGGCUUUCUUUUCCUAGUUCAGUAUCACUGUGAAGAGAGGGGCCAAGAUGGCAGAACAGCAUGGAAGUUUUUUUGUGUGUGUCUCGUCCCUGAAGUGCAGCCAGAUCAACAUUAAACUAUCUUGCUAGAAAGCCGGUAUGAGGAUUAACACAACAAUCUGCACAACCUGAACCACAGUAUCACUGUGAAGGCACUUUAAACCAAGAAUUGAAAAACGUUA